rnacentral:rRNA from 1 species
CGGGACGGGUGAGUAAUGUCUGGGAAACUGCCUGAUGGAGGGGGAUAACUGCUGGAAACGGUAGCUAAUACCGCAUAACGUCGCAAGACCAAAGAGGGGGACCUUCGGGCCUCUUGCCAUCGGACGUGCCCAGAUGGGAUUAGCUAGUAGGUGGGGUAACGGCUCACCUAGGCGACGAUCCCUAGCUGGUCUGAGAGGAUGCCAGCCACACUGGAACUGAGACACGGUCCAG